AGUGAACGCUGGCGGUAGGCCUAACACAUGCAAGUCGAACGGCAGCACAGUAAGAGCUUGCUCUUACGGGUGGCGAGUGGCGGACGGGUGAGGAAUACAUCGGAAUCUACUUUUUCGUGGGGGAUAACGUAGGGAAACUUACGCUAAUACCGCAUACGACCUACGGGUGAAAGUAGGGGAUCUUCGGACCUUGCGCGAUUGAAUGAGCCGAUGUCGGAUUAGCUAGUUGGCGGGGUAAAGGCCCACCAAGGCGACGAUCCGUAGCUGGUCUGAGAGGAUGAUCAGCCACACUGGAACUGAGACACGGUCCAGACUCCUACGGGAGGCAGCAGUGGGGAAUAUUGGACAGUGGGCGCAAGCCUGAUCCAGCCAUACCGCGUGGGUGAAGAAGGCCUUCGGGUUGUAAAGCCCUUUUGUUGGGAAAGAAAAGCAGCAGGUUAAUACCCCGCUGUUCUGACGGUACCCAAAGAAUAAGCACCGGCUAACUUCGUG
rnacentral:rRNA from 1 species